rnacentral:rRNA from 1 species
UACGUAGGGUCCGAGCGUUGUCCGGAAUUACUGGGCGUAAAGAGCUCGUAGGUGGUUUGUCGCGUUGUUCGUGAAAACUCACAGCUCAACUGUGGGCGUGCGGGCGAUACGGGCAGACUAGAGUACUGCAGGGGAGACUGGAAUUCCUGGUGUAGCGGUGGAAUGCGCAGAUAUCAGGAGGAACACCGGUGGCGAAGGCGGGUCUCUGGGCAGUAACUGACGCUGAGGAGCGAAAGCGUGGGGAGCGGUCCGG